rnacentral:rRNA from 1 species
UGGGGAAUUUUGGGCAAUGGGCGAAAGCCUGAUCCAGCCAUGCCGCGUGCAGGAUGAAGGCCUUCGGGUUGUAAACUGCUUUUGUACGGAACGAAAAGCCUCUUUCUAAUAAAGAGGGGUCAUGACGGUACCGUAAGAAUAAGCACCGGCUAACUACGUGCCAGCAGCCGCGGUAAUACGUAGGGUGCAAGCGUUAAUCGGAAUUACUGGGCGUAAAGCGUGCGCAGGCGGUUUUGUAAGACAGAGGUGAAAUCCCCGGGCUCAACCUGGGAACUGCCUUUGUGACUGCAAGGCUGGAGUGCGGCAGAGGGGGAUGGAAUUCCGCGUGUAGCAGUGAAAUGCGUAGAUAUGCGGAGGAACACCGAUGGCGAAGGCAAUCCCCUGGGCCUGCACUGACGCUCAUGCACGAAAGCGUGGGGAGCAAACAGGAUUAGAUACCCUGGUAGUCCACGCCCUAAACGAUGUCAACUGGUUGUUGGGGUCUUCACUGACUCAGUAACGAAGCUAACGCGUGAAGUUGACCGCCUGGGGAGUACGGCCGCAAGGUUGAAACUCAAAUGAAUUGACGGGGUCAUAGCUGUUUCCU